rnacentral:rRNA from 1 species
GACGAACGCUGGCGGCGUGCUUAACACAUGCAAGUCGAACGGAGUGGCGAACGGGUGAGUAACACGUGGGUGACCUGCCCCGCACUUAGGGAUAAGACUGGGAGACUGGGUCUAAUACCGGAUAGUGUGGGAUGGGCGCGGGGCCUAUCAGCUUGUUGGUGGGGUAUUGGCCUACCAAGGCGGCGACGGGUAGCCGGCCUGAGAGGGUGGACGGCCACAAUGGGACUGAGAGACGGCCCAGACUGCUACGGGAGGCAGCGGUGGGGAAUAUUACACAGUGGGGGGAAGCCUGAUGCAGCGACGCCGCGUGGGGGAUGACGGCCUUCGGGUUGGAAACUCCUUUCACCAUCGACGCGGUAGAUGCAGAAGAAGCACCGGCUAACUACGUGCCAGCAGCCGCGGUAAUAC